rnacentral:rRNA from 1 species
UACGUAGGUGGCAAGCGUUGUCCGGAAUUACUGGGUGUAAAGGGAGCGCAGGCGGAACUGCAAGUUGGGUGUUUAAUCUACGGGCUCAACCCGUAUCAGCAUUCAAAACUGUGGUUCUUGAGUAAUGCAGAGGUAGGCGGAAUUCCCGGUGUAGCGGUGGAAUGCGUAGAUAUCGGGAGGAACACCAGUGGCGAAGGCGGCCUACUGGGCAUCAACUGACGCUGAGGCUCGAAAGCAUGGGUAGCAAACAGGAUUAGAUACCCUGGUAGUCCAUGCCGUAAACGAUGAUUACUAGGUGUGGGGAGAUUGACCCUCUCCGUGCCGCAGUUAACACAAUAAGUAAUCCACCUGGGGAGUACGACCGCAAGGUUGAA